UACAGAGGUCUCAACCGUUGUUCGGAUUCAUUGGGCGUAAAGGGUGCGUAGGCGGCGCGGUAAGUCGGGUGUGAAAUCUCGGAGCUUAACUCCGAAACUGCAUUCGAUACUGCCGUGCUUGAGGACUGGAGAGGAGACUGGAAUUUACGGUGUAGCGGUGAAAUGCGUAGAUAUCGUAAGGAAGACCAGUGGCGAAGGCGGGUCUCUGGACAGUUCCUGACGCUGAGGCACGAAGGUCAGGGGGAGCAAACGGGG
rnacentral:rRNA from 1 species